rnacentral:lncRNA from 1 species
UCUAUUUGCGAAACUUUUGGCACAGAUAGAUCAUCGGAGCAUUGUCAUAAGAGAUCCAAUCCGGUACCAUCAUUUUCAGGAUGGUAUUUGUUCCUGCGGAGAUUAUUGGUAGUAGAGAGAAUGGACUUCAGUUGAGUAUGAUAAACUACCUAGUAAAUUUGCUUUCGAUAGACUUAUAAGCUUCACUAUUUACAUUAAAUACAUCAUAUCACUUUCCCCCAUGUUUUAUAUGUUUUUCCCGCAGAUGUAGUAACACUUGCAGAAAUAGUGGCAACUAUGAAGCUCAAAGUACUGGUUUCAUGCAUCAACAGUUGGGUUGACAAGAAUGCACUCGCUGCUAAACUUGCAUUUGCGUUGGCAGCUAUGAGUUUCUAGGCUGUCAAGCAAACUUACGGAAGACACCCCUACCCAUGAAGGUAUGCAGCCGCUGAGCAAAAUUCCCAAGUUUCAGCAAAAAUUCAUCUUUUUGUGACUGUUCAAGCCUAUGUGAUCUUUUGAAGGUUUUAUCCAUCUU